rnacentral:rRNA from 1 species
CAGGUAGUAGUGGGUGUAGCGUACCUACUAGCCUACGACGGGUACGGGUUGUGAGAGCAAGAGCCCGGAGAUGGAUUCUGAGACACGAAUCCAGGCCCUACGGGGUGCAGCAGGCGCGAAAACUUUACAAUGCUGGAAACAGCGAUAAGGGGACCUCGAGUGCCAGGUUACAAAUCUGGCUGUCGUGAUGCCUAAAAAGCAUUGCAUAGCAAGGGCCGGGCAAGACCGGUGCCAGCCGCCGCGGUAACACCGGCGGCUCGAGUGGUAACCGUUAUUAUUGGGUCUAAAGGGUCUGUAGCCGGCCGGAUAAGUCUCUUGGGAAAUCUGGCAGCUUAACUGUCAGGCUUUCAGGAGAUACUGUCUGGCUCGAGGCCGGGAGAGGUGAGAGGUACUUCAGGGGUAGGGGUGAAAUCUUGUAAUCCUUGAUGGACCACCAGUGGCGAAGGCGUCUCACCAGAACGGACCUGACGGCAAGGGACGAAAGCUAGGGGCACGAACCGGAUUAGAUACCCGGGUAGUCCUAGCCGUAAACGAUACUCGCUAGGUGUCGGCAACGGUGCGACCGUUGUCGGUGCCGUAGGGAAGCCGUGAAGCGAGCCACCUGGGAAGUACGGCCGCAAGGCUGAAACUUAAAGGAAUUGGCGGGGGAGCAC